AUUCAGCCGACAGUGUUUAAUCCAGAAAAGUUUCCUGGGGGAGGCUUGCCUUUUUUCAUUGGUAAUUUCUAAAAAUCGAACGAGUAUUGUUCGUUUAAUAAAUAAUUUUUGUUGACAGUCGUAUUUUGUCAGGGGGCGAAUUGAAUUCCGGGCGGGCAUUCAUCCCCCUUGGAGUGUACCAAGAUUCAACAGUGUUCAGCAGUCGUGUUUAACGGUGGACAAAUUAGAGGGAGG